CAAAAAAUAGUUUAAUUAAAAUUUUAAUUUUGGAGAUUAAAUAUAUAAAUACGUUAUAAUUUUAUUUUUUUGA
rnacentral:tRNA from 1 species